rnacentral:rRNA from 1 species
UAGCCGUAAACGAUACUCGCUAGGUGUCGGCCACGGUGCGACCGUUGUCGGUGCCGUAGGGAAGCCGUGAAGCGAGCCACCUGGGAAGUACGGCCGCAAGGCUGAAACUUAAAGGAAUUGGCGGGGGGAGGCACCACAACGGGUGGAGCUUGCGGUUUAAUUGGAUUCAACGCCGGAAAUCUUUACCGGGACCGACAGCAACAUGAAGGCCAGGCUGAAGACUUUGCCGGAUUAGCUGAGAGGAGGUGCAUGGCGUAGUCGUGU